UACGUAGGGUGCGAGCGUUGUCCGGAAUUAUUGGGCGUAAAGAGCUCGUAGGCGGUGUGUCGCGUCGGCCGUGAAAACCUGGGGCUUAACUCUGGGCGUGCGGUCGAUACGGGCAUCACUAGAGUUCGGCAGGGGAGACUGGAAUUCCUGGUGUAGCGGUGAAAUGCGCGGAUAUCAGGAGGAACACCGGUGGCGAAGGCGGGUCUCUGGGCCGAUACUGACGCUGAGACGCGAAAGCGUGGGGAGCGAACAGG
rnacentral:rRNA from 1 species